GUAUCCAAAUGUCUCCAGGAACUCCAUGUGGUACUUCAAUACCUAAUAGAGACAUAUGUAUGCAAAAUGCAACCUAGACAUGGCUAAAUCAUAAUCUUUAUAAUGAAAAUGCACAUGAAUAAAUGGAUAAAACAAUGUGAAUAUGCAAGAUAUCAACUCCCCCAAACUUAUUCUUUUACUUGUCCUCAAAUGAACUUUCUAGAACUCAUAGGGAGAGAGGUUUGAAGGUGGGAGCUCAU
rnacentral:lncRNA from 1 species